rnacentral:rRNA from 1 species
UCCGUAGGCGGGCAAUUAAGUCAGAGGUGAAAUCCCACAGCUCAACUGUGGAACUGCCUUUGAUACUGGUUGUCUUGAGUUACAGUGAAGUAGAUAGAAUAUGUAGUGUAGCGGUGAAAUGCAUAGAUAUUACAUAGAAUACCGAUUGCGAAGGCAGUCUACUAACUGUAUACUGACGCUAAUGGACGAAAGCGUGGGGAGCGAACGGGAUUAGAUACCCUGGUAGUCC